rnacentral:rRNA from 1 species
CCUACGGGGGGCAGCAGUGGGGAAUAUUGCACAAUGGGCGCAAGCCUGAUGCAGCCAUGCCGCGUGUGUGAAGAAGGCCUUCGGGUUGUAAAGCACUUUCAGCGGGGAGGAAGGCGUUAAGGUUAAUAACCUUGGCGAUUGACGUUACCCGCAGAAGAAGCACCGGCUAACUCCGUGCCAGCAGCCGCGGUAAUACGGAGGGUGCAAGCGUUAAUCGGAAUUACUGGGCGUAAAGCGCACGCAGGCGGUCUGUCAAGUCGGAUGUGAAAUCCCCGGGCUCAACCUGGGAACUGCAUUCGAAACUGGCAGGCUAGAGUCUUGUAGAGGGGGUAGAAUUCCAGGUGUAGCGGUGAAAUGCGUAGAGAUCUGGAGGAAUACCGGUGGCGAAGGCGGCCCCCUGGACAAAGACUGACGCUCAGGUGCGAAAGCGUGGGGAGCAAACAGGAUUAGAUACCCGGGUAGUC